rnacentral:hammerhead_ribozyme from 1 species
AUCCAGCUGACGAGUGGCAAAUAAGACGAAGUGUCCCCAAACCUGGAU